rnacentral:Y_RNA from 1 species
GGUUGGUCCGAGUACAGUGGUGUUUACAACUAAUUGAUCACAACCUUUGUGAUACAGAUUCCUUUGUUCCUUUUCCACUCCCACUGCUUCACUUGAUCAGCCUUUA